GAUGAAGAACGCAGCGAAAUGCGAUACGUAAUGUGAAUUGCAAAUUCAGUGAAUCAUCGAGUCUUUGAACGCACAUUGCGCCCCCUGGUAUUCCGGGGGGCAUGCCUGUCCGAGCGUCAUUGCUGCCCUCAAGCACGGCUUGUGUGUUGGGCCCCGUCCUCCGAUCCCGGGGGACGGGCCCGAAAGGCAGCGGCGGCACCGCGUCCGGUCCUCGAGCGUAUGUGGCUUUGUCACCCGCUCUGUAGGCCCGGCCGGCGCUUGCCGAUCAACCCAAAUUUUUAUCCAGGUUGACCUCGGAUCAGGUAGGGAUACCCGCUGAACUUAAGCAUAUCAAUAAGCGGAGG
rnacentral:misc_RNA from 1 species